UACAGAGGGUGCGAGCGUUGUCCGGAAUCACUGGGCGUAAAGGGCGCGUAGGCGGUCGGGUAAGCGUGUGGUGAAAGCUCGGGGGCUCAACCCCCGAGUCGGCCGUGCGAACUGCCGGACUGGAGCAGAUCAGAGGCAGGCGGAAUUCCGGGUGUAGCGGUGGAAUGCGUAGAGAUCCGGAAGAACACCGGUGGCGAAGGCGGCCUGCUGGGAUCUUGCUGACGCUGAGGCACGAAAGCGUGGGGAGCAAACAGGA
rnacentral:rRNA from 1 species